AGUGAACGCUAGCGGCGCGCCUAACGCAUGCAAGUCAUACGAGAAAGUUGGCUUCGGUCAGCGAGUAAAGUGGCGCACGGGUGAAUAAUAUUUAGAUAACGUACCUCAACGCUGGGGAUAACUAGGCGAAAGCUUAGCUAAUACCGAAUGAGGCGGUUGGAACUGCGGUUCUAAUCGUCAAAGUCGCAAGACGCGAUGAGAGCGGUCUAAUUCUCAUUAACUAGUUGGUGAGGUAAUGGCUCACCAAGGUUUUGAUGGGUAGCUGGUCUGAGAGGAUGUCCAGCCACACUGGAACUGAAACACGGUCCAGACUCCUACGGGAGGCAGCAGCCAGGAAUUUUGCGCAAUGGGGGAAACCCUGACGCAGCGACGCCGCGUGAGUGAUGAAGGCCUUAGGGUUGUAAAACUCUUUUAGCAGGAAAGACAAAAACGACGGUACCUGCAGAAAAAGCACCGGCAAACUUCGUG
rnacentral:rRNA from 1 species